rnacentral:rRNA from 1 species
CAACAGUUAUAGUUUAUUUGGUUUCGUUUUCAUGGAUAACCGUGCUAAUUGUAGGGCUAAUACAAGUUCGAGGCCUUUUUGGCGGCGUUUAUUAGUUCUAAACCUCCCUUGGUUUUCGGUGAUUCAUAAUAAACUCGCGAAUCGCUUUUAGCGAUGGACCAUUCAAGUUUCUGACCCAUCAGCUU